rnacentral:rRNA from 1 species
GACGAACGCUGGCGGCGUGCCUAAUACAUGCAAGUCGAGCGAACUUUUGGGAGCUUGCUCCCAAAAGUUAGCGGCGGACGGGUGAGUAACACGUGGGCAACCUGCCUAUAAGACUGGGAUAACUUCGGGAAACCGGAGCUAAUACCGGAUAAUUCUUUUCUACUCAUGUAGGAAAGCUGAAAGACGGUUUCGGCUGUCACUUAUAGAUGGGCCCGCGGCGCAUUAGCUAGUUGGUGAGGUAACGGCUCACCAAGGCGACGAUGCGUAGCCGACCUGAGAGGGGGAUCGGCCAACCUGGGACGGAGACACGGCCCAGACUCCUACGGGAGGAAGCAGUAGGGAAUCUUCCGCAAUGGACGAAAGUCUGACGGAGCAACGCCGCGUGAGUGAUGAAGGUUUUCGGAUCGUAAAACUCUGUUGUUAGGGAAGAACAAGUACCAGAGUAACUGCUGGUACCUUGACGGUACCUAACCAGAAAGCCACGGCUAACUACGUGCCAGCCGCCGCCGUAAGAC